UACGUAUGAGGCGAGCGUUGUUCGGAAUUAUUGGGCGUAAAGGGCGUGUAGGCGGGAAGUUAAGUUAGGCGUGAAAUCCAUGGGCUUAACCCAUGAACUGCGCUUAAUACUGAUUUUCUUGAGUUCGGGAGAGGAGAGCGGAAUUCCCGGUGUAGCGGUGAAAUGCGUAGAUAUCGGGAAGAACACCAGUGGCGAAGGCGGCUCUCUGGCCUAGAACUGACGCUGAGGCGCGAAAGCGUGGGGAG
rnacentral:rRNA from 1 species